rnacentral:tRNA from 1 species
AGGGGAGUAGCUCAAUUGGCAGAGUACCGGUCUCCAAAACCGGAUGUUGAGGGUUCAAAUCCCCCCUCCCCUG